rnacentral:rRNA from 1 species
AGAGUUUGAUCCUGGCUCAGAUUGAACGCUGGCGGAAUGCUUUACACAUGCAAGUCGAACGGGGCUUGGGGGCUUGCUCCCAAGCUUAGUGGCGAACGGGUGAGUAAUGCGUCGGAACGUACCGAGUAAUGGGGGAUAACCCGGCGAAAGUCGGAUUAAUACCGCAUACGUCCUUAGGGAGAAAGCAGGGGAUCGUAAGACCUUGCGUUAUUCGAGCGGCCGACGUCUGAUUAGCUAGUUGGUGAGGUAAUGGCUCACCAAGGCGACGAUCAGUAGCGGGUCUGAGAGGAUGAUCCGUCACACUGGGACUGAGACACGGCCCAGACUCCUACGGGAGGCAGCAGUGGGGAAUUUUGGACAAUGGGGGAAACCCUGAUCCAGCCAUUCCGCGUGAGUGAAGAAGGCCUUCGGGUUGUAAAGCUCUUUCAGCAGGAACGAAACGGUACGCUCUAACAUAGCGUGCUAAUGACGGUACCUGCAGAAGAAGCACCGGCUAACUACGUGCCAGCAGCCGCGGUAAUACGUAGGGUGCGAGCGUUAAUCGGAAUUACUGGGCGUAAAGCGUGCGCAGGCGGACUGUUAAGCAAGAUGUGAAAUCCCCGGGCUUAACCUGGGAAUGGCAUUUUGAACUGGCAGUCUAGAGUGUGUCAGAGGGGGGUGGAAUUCCACGUGUAGCAGUGAAAUGCGUAGAGAUGUGGAGGAACACCAAUGGCGAAGGCAGCCCCCUGGGAUAACACUGACGCUCAUGUACGAAAGCGUGGGUAGCAAACAGGAUUAGAUACCCUGGUAGUCC